GCCUUGGGCUAGAAUCGCGCUACAAUGGCUGGUACAAUGCGAAGCGAAGCAGUGAUGUGAAGCAAAUCGCACCAAAGCCAGUCCCAGUUCGGAUAGAAGGCUGAAACUCGCCUUCUUGAAGUCGGAAUCGCUAGUAAUCGCAGAUCAGCAUGUUGCGGUGAAUACGUUCCCGGGUCUUGUACACACCGCCCGUCAAACCAUGAGAGUCACCAACACCCGAAGUCCGCCUCGGCGGCCUAAGGUGGGGGAGAUGAUUGGGGUUAAGUCGUAACAAGGCAUCGGUACGAGAACGUGUCGAUGGAUUACCUCCUUUCUA
rnacentral:rRNA from 1 species